rnacentral:rRNA from 1 species
GACAGAGGGUGCAAACGUUGCUCGGAAUUACUGGGCGUAAAGCGCGUGUAGGCGGAUCGGAAAGUCGGACGUGAAAUCCCCGGGCUCAACCCAGGAACUGCGCUCGAAACUUCCGACCUUGAGUGAUGGAGAGGAUAGUGGAAUUCUCGGUGUAGAGGUGAAAUUCGUAGAUAUCGAGAGGAACACCAGUGGCGAAGGCGGCUAUCUGGACAUCAACUGACGCUGAGACGCGAAAGCGUGGGGAGCAAACAGG